CUGCAGUCGAGCGCGGGAAGCGAGCGGAUCCCUUCGGGGUGAAGCUCGUGGAACGAGCGGCGGACGGGUGAGUAACACGUGGGCAACCUGCCUGUAAGAUCGGAAUAACCCCGGGAAACCGGGGCUAAUGCCGGGUAAUACUUUUCUUCGCAUGAAGAUGAGUUGAAAGAUGGCUUCUCGCUAUCACUUACAGAUGGGCCCGCGGCGCAUUAGCUAGUUGGUGAGGUAACGGCUCACCAAGGCAACGAUGCGUAGCCGACCUGAGAGGGUGAUCGGCCACACUGGGACUGAGACACGGCCCAGACUCCUACGGGAGGCAGCAGUAGGGAAUCUUCCGCAAUGGACGAAAGUCUGACGGAGCAACGCCGCGUGAACGAUGAAGGUCUUCGGAUCGUAAAGUUCUGUUGUCAGGGAAGAACAAGUACCGUGCGAAUAGAGCGGUACCUUGACGGUACCUGACGAGGAAGCCCCGGCUAACUACGUGCCAGCAGCCGCGGUAAUACGUAGGGGGCAAGCGUUGUCCGGAAUUAUUGGGCGUAAAGCGCGCGCAGGCGGUUCCUUAAGUCUGAUGUGAAAGCCCACGGCUCAACCGUGGAGGGUCAUUGGAAACUGGGGAACUUGAGGACAGAAGAGGAGAGUGGAAUUCCACGUGUAGCGGUGAAAUGCGUAGAUAUGUGGAGGAACACCAGUGGCGAAGGCGACUCUCUGGU
rnacentral:rRNA from 1 species